rnacentral:rRNA from 1 species
AACGAACGCUGGCGGCAGGCCUAACACAUGCAAGUCGAACGCUGUAGCAAUACAGAGUGGCAGACGGGUGAGUAACGCGUGGGAACAUACCCUUCGGUUCGGAACAACUCAGGGAAACUUGAGCUAAUACCGGAUACGUGCGAGAGCAGAAAGAUUCAUCGCCGAAGGAUUGGCCCGCGUUCGAUUAGCUUGUUGGUGAGGUAACGGCUCACCAAGGCGACGAUCGANAGCUGGUCUGAGAGGAUGAUCAGCCACAUUGGGGACUGAGACACGGCCCAAACUCCUACGGGAGGCAGCAGUGGGGAAUAUUGGACAAUGGGCGAAAGCCUGAUCCAGCCAUGCCGCGUGAGUGAUGAAGGCCCUAGGGUUGUAAAGCUCUUUCGUCAGGGACGAUAAUGACGGUACCUGAAGAAGAA